AAGAGCAUACGUGGACAACACUCUCCCCUCUCGUUGCUAUGCAUCACCAUGAUCUUGCGUGUGUGUAGGAUUUCUUUGAAAUUACUACGUUCCCCAACACUUUUUGUAUAUAUGGAGUGAAAACUGAUUUAGGUUUUUUUGUCAUACAGAUUGGGCAUCAAAGUAGACGACAAAGGAUGACAAACGAUUAAGUUCUGCACCUUAGUCCACUUACAACUUAUAAUUUGAUUGAUACUUUUCAUUUUAUAUUGAUGUGCUUCCAACGAGAACAAUUUUUUCACGGGAUGUGUUUCAUUACAUAUGCCAUUUUAUUUGUGUGAAGUCUUUGAGACUUUCCUUUGAUUCUUUAUUUUAACGGCGUGAAAAAGGAUUAUAAGUAAUGUUGGGUUCCCAGCAGGACAAAGGUAGGAAGAGAAGCAAAUCAUAACCUUUAGGUUCAUGGUCUAGGAGCAGGAAAGUACAUGUCCAUCUUUGUGGUAUUCUCAUUUGAAUAAGCAUAAUACUACGUACAAAAUCUCUCAAUUGUGUAGACAGGUCAUCAAGUAAUGGUUAGUAAUUCAUAAUAUUGCUUCACCUUUAUGUUAAUGAUCCACUUUUAAGUGUUUGUUGCCAAAGUGAGCAUCAAAUUGCAGGAAUCUCAAUCUUUUUUCUAUAUUUCUCGCAAGGCUCUUCUACGGUAGAUAUUUUUGCUUGGUCAUAAAUGAAUUAGUCCCAUGCUCUGACAGUAAGAUAAUGGAGCUAGGUGGACGAACAUCGGCAUUGAUGCCAAGAUUAUCUGACAUCUUGCUGUAGUAGUGUCUUAAUUGGAUAUGUUUACAGUUCUAAAAUCAAUGUUCAUCAGCAUCCAGCCUUCUAACUAAAAAGUAUUUUCGCAACGGCUUCUCUGCACCGUUACGCUCUCUUGCUGGUACGCAAUUUGAGGCAUGGGAGCGAGGGGCACGUUGCGAGGUCGUCUUCGAUCAUGGCUACAACUUAUGACGAGAAGGGGAUUUAUGCUUAGUAGGCUGCCCUGUGGUUAGCAAGUCAUUGUCGCAGUCUCCGCCUCCCAGGUUGCCUCGGCUUGCUAUUGGUGUGUGUUGCUGCAACAACCCCUUCCGACCACCUCUGAAGUUGGGCAAUGUGGCCACUGAUGUCAAGGGCGUCGCCAUCUUACUUGCAAGGCACAAAUUGCACCACACGCAACAUCUUGCUAUGCAUGGCCACUGAUGUCAAAGAGAACCAAGUGCCUUGACGUACUAUAUAAAGAGAUCAUGUGAAAACAAAGCUGAAGUUCUUGAUCAAGAUGAGAAGGAAAGUGGUCUUCGAGCAACACUAAUCCUGGGUUAUACAUUUGGUCAUGUACAUAAUAUCUUCGACCAUUGUUGUUUUUAUGUUGAGUUUAUCUAUCUUGCAUUACGAUGGUCCAUGUAAACAUAUUUGGAUGAAUUGGCAGCCCAGUAAAAAGUUUGCUUUAUUUUUGUUGCUACUGCCUACUUUAUUGAAGCAUUUGAUGGAGAUGACUCAUGUACUCACUUUUGUUGCUUGCUAAAAUAGAAAAGAAUACAACAAAGAAUAGUAUUUAUUU